AUUGAACGCUGGCGGCAUGCUUUACACAUGCAAGUCGAACGGUAACAGGCCUUCGGGUGCUGACGAGUGGCGAACGGGUGAGUAAUGCAUCGGAACGUACCCAGAGGUGGGGGAUAACGCAGCGAAAGCUGUGCUAAUACCGCAUGUGAUCUGAGGAUGAAAGCGGGGGACCGAGCAGCAAUGUUUGGCCUCGCGCCUUUGGAGCGGCCGAUGUCGGAUUAGCUAGUUGGUGGGGUAAAGGCCUACCAAGGCGACGAUCCGUAGCUGGUCUGAGAGGACGACCAGCCACACUGGGACUGAGACACGGCCCAGACUCCUACGGGAGGCAGCAGUGGGGAAUUUUGGACAAUGGGCGCAAGCCUGAUCCAGCAAUGCCGCGUGCGGGAAGAAGGCCUUCGGGCUGUAAACCGCUUUUGGCAGGAACGAAACGGUGUCCGCUAAUACCGGGCGCUAAUGACGGUACCUGCAGAAUAAGCACCGGCUAACUACGUG
rnacentral:rRNA from 1 species